CCGACGGUGAGAGACGAAAGCUGGGGGAGCAAACCGGAUUAGAUACCCGGGUAGUCCCAGCCGUAAACGAUGUGCGUUAGGUGUAUCGGUGACCACGAGUCACCGAGGUGCCGAAGAGAAAUCGUGAAACGUACCGCCUGGGAAGUACGGUCGCAAGGCUGAAACUUAAAGGAAUUGGCGGGGGAGCACCACAACAGGUGGAGCCUGCGGUUUAAUCGGACUCAACGACGGAAAACUCACCAGAUAA
rnacentral:rRNA from 1 species